AUUUCAGCUGGUGCAACAUCACAAACUGGCUCUGGACGCGGCCGCUCCAAUAGUACUUCAACAGCAUAUUCGAGUGCGGUAUCCAGAUCUUCGAAGAAAGGACCUAAAUCAGAAACACAAGGAGACGAUGGUGGGCGGUAUAAAAGAAAUAGUGUUCCUUGUCUGGACGGACAUAAAGGGAAAGGAGAUGGAGGCAUAGGAGACGGUGGUGAUGGAGGAGGCAGUGGUGAAGGAGGCGAAGGAGGAGGGUCACCUCCUCCGUCAGGAGGAGGCGAAGGAGGAGACAGUGGAGAAGGCGGAGAUGAAGGCAAUGGAGGCAAUGAAGGCGAAGGAGGCAA